GACGAACGCUGGCGGCGUGCCUAAUACAUGCAAGUCGAGCGAGUCUGCCUUGAAGAUCGGAGUGCUUGCACUCUGUGAAACAAGAUACAGGCUAGCGGCGGACGGGUGAGUAACACGUGGGUAACCUGCCCAAGAGAUCGGGAUAACACCUGGAAACAGAUGCUAAUACCGGAUAACAACAGAUGAUGCCUAUCAACUGUUUAAAAGAUGGUUCUGCUAUCACUCUUGGAUGGACCUGCGGUGCAUUAGCUAGUUGGUAGGGUAACGGCCUACCAAGGCGGUGAUGCAUAGCCGAGUUGAGAGACUGAUCGGCCACAUUGGGACUGAGACACGGCCCAAACUCCUACGGGAGGCAGCAGUAGGGAAUCUUACACAAUGGACGCAAGUCUGAUGGAGCAACGCCGCGUGAGUGAAGAAGGGUUUCGGCUCGUAAAGCUCUGUUGUUGGUGAAGAAGGACAGGGGUAGUAACUGACCUUUGUUUGACGGUAAUCAAUUAGAAAGUCACGGCUAACUAAGUG
rnacentral:rRNA from 1 species